rnacentral:piRNA from 1 species
GGGAGUCCGUUCCUACUCAGGGAAGCAA